rnacentral:tRNA from 1 species
GACCUUGCAGCGCAUUGGAUAGCGCGUUGGACUUUUAAUCCAAAAGAAGUGGGAUCGAAUCCCACCUGGGAUGGCCU